CCUGAAAGGAAUAUGGAUGGGAAGAAGAGAGCAGACACAUAGGCUCCUGGUGGAAGGGGCCUGCCCUGGAACUGAUCCCAGAGCCAGGAGAGAAGCUUCACCCUCUGGCCUCAGGAGGCUCCUGACUUGAGCCCUGAAGGCCCAGAGCCUGCACCUACAGUCCAGAUGGUGCUGACUUUUCUGCCUAAAGCAAGAGCUCUCAGCUGAGGAGGAAAACACUCACCAGGUGACUCCUGAAAUACUCCCGCCCUCUUUUGCCUAGAUCUGUGCCUGACACGUAGGAGGCGAUGGACCUGCAUUUGUUGAACGAAUGAAUGAACACCAGGAAACAGAAACCCGGAGUGCCGGUAGGAGGAUUGUGACUCGUCCAAGGUCACUCUGGGGUUGAACCUCGAACCCGAGACUCCCAGCUCUAGCGGCCUGGCCUCAGGUGCGACUAACAGUCCCUCUGGCAUCAUCAGUCUCGGCCCCGCCAAGCAGGCGAGGAGGAUCGUGGCCGCCGGGGGCAUGGCUGCGGCUCGUCCCAGGCCCGAUGCCACCUAUUCGGCAGGGCCCAGCCGCGCACUCACCUCGGCGGCUCCACUACCGGCGCUGUGCCGCCGCCGCCGCCGCCGCCGCCGCCGCCGCCGCUGCCGCGGUCCACAGUGACAGCUCCCAGUGUGCUGGCACUUCCGGGGUCAAACGGCGAUUCCGCAGGCGCAGACAGGAAGCCCCGACCGGCCCCGCCCCCGGUGCUAACCGCCGCCGGGAAGCCGGGCCCAUGGCCACGCCCCCAGCCUAAAGACUUCGCCCCCACCAGGAACAGGCUGGACGGUAACCACGGCCCCUUCCCCAUUCUUUCUUUCAAGAGAUUCCACCUCUUGGAAAACGCAAGUAUUGUACCUGGUCUCUCAGAAUCUCAGACUUCCAUCUCCUUACUAACCUUCUCAAUCAUCGUUUUACACAUUUCAUCCAAAAGAGUAGUUUUAAUAAGCCAGAAGCAUGAACAUGAUGUUGAGCAAAAAAAAAAAAAAAAGGAAAAUAGUACAGACUGCAAUUUUGUUUACAGGAAUUUCUAGAACCGGCAAGACUAGUGAGCGGUGAUGGGAUUCGAAUGGUGGUUACCUCUGGGGCUGGUGACUGGAAGUGGCCACAAGUGAGACUGGGACAUUGCAUGUCUUCAUCUUUGGGUAGCUACAUAAAUGUGUUCAACUUGGAAAAGUCAUCAAAUUGUACACCUAUGAGCUGUGCACAUUGGUGUGUGUAUGCAAUACAAAUAGGUUUUGUUUUUGUUUUUUGUUUGUUUUAAAUCAAGAAGGCUGUGCUAUAGCUAUCUUUUUUUUUUUUUUUUUAAGAUUUUAUUCAUUUGACAGACACAGAAAAAGAGAGCACAAGUAGGGGGAGUGGCACAUAGAGGGAGAAGCAGGCUCUAGGCUCAGCUGUGGAGGCUGAGCCCCCAUGUGGUAUAGCUAUCUUAAAAGCAAAAUGCAAAUUUUCCACAGAAUGUCUUAGGUGGUAUAAGUAUAAGGUUGGUAUUUCUAAGUCCCGCUGCGCAUCGGAAUCAUCACAGAAAGCUAGUUAAAAAUACACAACCCUGGCUUUCUCUCUGUGCCUAGCACACAGUAAGGAUUCAAAAACCACCACUGCCAGGGUACUGGAGUAGCUCAGUUGGUUAACUGUCUGCCUUCUGGUCAGGUCAUAAUCUUGGGGUCCUGGGAUUGGGCCCAUGUUGCACACCCUACUCAGUGAAGAGUCUGCUUCUCCCUCUCCCUCUGCCUCUCCCCCUACUCGUGUGUGUGUGUGUGUUGCAUGUGUGCACAUGCACUGUCUCUCUUUCUCUCCCUCUCUCAAAUAAAUAAAUAAAAUCUUAAAAAAAAAAAAAAAAAAAAAAGAAAGAAAAGAAAAGAAACCCAGAAGGGUACCUGGGUGACUCAGUUGAUUAAGCAUCUGCCUUCUUCUCAGGUCAUGAUCCCCAGGGUCCUGGCCCAGUGGAGAGCCUGCUUCUCCCUCUCCCUCUGCCUGCUGCUCCCCUUGCUUGUGCUCUCUCUAUCAAAUAAAUAAAUAAAAUCUUUUAAAAAAAAGAGAGAGAGAGAAUUACAAGGGAUGCCUGGCUGGCUCAGUUGGUAGAGCAUGUGACUCUUGAUCUUGGUUGUAAGUUUGAGGCCCAUGUUGGGUGUAAAGAUUACUUAAAAAUAAAAUUAAAAAAAAAAAGAAUUGUAAGUGAUAAAAACUAUUGUACCAUUUUAUAGAGGGGUUUAGAGAUUAAAACAGGGUCACAAUGCUUAUAAAUUGAUGGACUGGGGAUUUUAACCCAGCUUUGUCUAGCUCCAAAGCUUGCUCUCAUAAGCUCUGUACCAAGGACUUGCCCAGGCUCCAUGAAACAAGUUUGGGGGUCUCCAGUCCAGGAAGAAUUCUGUGACCAAAUGCUGCAGACUGAGUCCAAAUGAUGAGGGAGCAGGAGGCUGGCUGAGGACAAAGCAAGAGCUGGAGCCUUGCAACCCUCCCCCCCUUCAUCCGCUCCCCUCCAUAGGUGUAGCAUUGCUCAGGCACCCCUGACUGCCAUAAAAUGAUAAAUAGUUAACUUGCUGAGAUCACAAUCCUGCACGAUAGGAGUCUCCCUUGGUUUGCAAAUGUCCUUGAGAUUACAACAAAGAAGUUACCUUAUCAAUAGCCCAAUUUCCAAAGACACAGAACUCAGUUCCUCAAGCCCUAAUGUCACCCUCCCCUCCAUGAAAAACCGAAGGAGGUGGAGGUAGAAGGAAAAGUAAAUAAAGUUAAAUUUCAUCUAAACCUAAAUCUCAUUAACAAGGAUGCUUGAUAGCAGGAAUGUAACAUUCCACCAGACUUCCAAUUGUCUUUACUUGAUAGCAACUAAGCCUUCAAUAUCCUGAUAGUAUUCUUUGCCCCAAUAGCCCUUCUGAACACCCCUUUGUCCUCACUUACCCAACUCCUGUGUAUAUAACCAACCACUCCUAACAACCCGGGGCGGCCGCAUCUCUGCCUGCCCACGGGCCCUGUCCCCGUGCUUUAAUAAACCACCAUUUUGCACCAA